rnacentral:rRNA from 1 species
GGCCAGGCUGAAGACUUUGCCGGAUUAGCUGAGAGGUGGUGCAUGGCCGUCGUCAGUUCGUACUGUGAAGCAUCCUGUUAAGUCAGGCAACGAGCGAGACCCACGCCCACAGUUGCCAGCGUACUCUCUGGAGUGACGGAUACACUGUGGGACCGCCGCUGCUAAAGCGGAGGAAGGAAUGGGCAACGGUAGGUCAGUAUGCCCCGAAUAUCCCGGGCUACACGCGAGCUACAAUGGUUGGUACAAUGGGUAUCUACCCCGAAAGGGGACGGGAAUCUCCUAAAACCAAUCUUAGUUCGGAUUGAGGGCUGCAACUCGCCCUCAUGAAGCUGGAAUCCGUAGUAAUCGCGUUUCAACAGAACGCGGUGAAUACGUCCCUGCUCCUU